UGAACGCUGGCGGCAUGGCUAAAACAUGCAAGUCGAACGCGAAAGUGACUUCGGUCACGAGUAGAGUGGCGAACGGGCGAGUAAUACUUUGCUAACGUACCCUGAGGUCGGGGAUAGCGACUGGAAACGGUCGGUAAUACCCGAUGACCCCUGCAGACCGCAUGAUCCGCAGGGCAAAGGCUUGCCACCUCAGGAUCGGGCAAAGCGCUAUCAGCUUGUUGGUGGGGUAACGGCUCACCAAGGCGAAGACGGCUAGCGGGUGUGAGAGCAUGACCCGCCGCAUCGGGACUGAGACACUGCCCGGACUCCUACGGGAGGCUGCAGUAACGAAUAUUCCGCAAUGGGCGAAAGCCUGACGGAGCGACGCCGCGUGUGGGAGGAAGCCCUUCGGGGUGUAAACCACUGUCAGGGAUUACCAAGCAAAGUUGGCGAAUAGCCUUCUGCGUUGAGGCGUCCCAGAGGAAGCCACGGCUAACUUCGUGCCAGCAGCCGCGGUAAUACGAAGGUGGCGAGCGUUGUUCGGAAUCACUGGGCUUAAAGGGCACGCAGGCGGACUGUCAAGCGUCUUGUGAAAGCCCCCGGCUUAACCGGGGAAUUGCUGGGCGAACUGGCAGUCUUGAGGCAGGUAAGGGCGAGCGGAACUCUUGGUGGAGCGGUGGAAUGCGUAGAUAUCAAGAGGAACGCCGGAGGCGAAAGCGGCUCGCUGGGCCUGACCUGACGCUGAGGUGCGAAAGCCAGGGGAGCGAACGGGAUUAGAUACCCCGGUAGUCCUGGCCAUAAACGAUGUCCACUAGAUCGGUGAACUUCUGACAGUGCGCCGGUCGAAACAAAAGCGUUAAGUGGACCGCCUGGGGAGUACGGUCGCAAGGCUAAAACUCAAAGGAAUUGACGGGGGCUCACACAAGCGGUGGAGCAUGUUGCUUAAUUCGAUGCAACGCGAAGAACCUUAUCCUGGACUUGACAUGUUAGGAUGCCUCCCUGGAAACAGGGUUGGUUGCCCUUCGGGGUGAAACUUUCACAGGUGCUGCAUGGCUGUCGUCAGCUCGUGUCGUGAGAUGUUGGGUUAAGUCCCGUAACGAGCGAAACCCUUGUCGUUAGUUGCCAGCGCGUAAUGGCGGGGACUCUAGCGAGACUGCCGGUGUUAAACCGGAGGAAGGUGGGGAUGACGUCAAGUCCUCAUGGCCUUUAUGUCCAGGGCUGCAAACGUGCUACAAUGGCGUGUACAAACCGACGCAAGACCGCGAGGUGGAGCAAAUCGGAAAAAGCACGCCCCAGUUCGGAUUGGAGUCUGCAACUCGACUCCAUGAAGUCGGAAUCGCUAGUAAUCGCGUAUCAGCUCGACGCGGUGAAUGUGUUCCUGAGCCUUGUACACACCGCCCGUCAAGUCAUGGAAGCUGGGAGCGCCCGAAGUCG
rnacentral:rRNA from 1 species